rnacentral:rRNA from 1 species
CCUACGGGGAGCUGCAGUGGGGAAUAUUGGACAAUGGGCGAAAGCCUGAUCCAGCCAUGCCGCGUGUGUGAAGAAGGCCUUCGGGUUGUAAAGCACUUUCAGUGGGGAAGAAAGCCUUGGGGCUAAUACCCUCGAGGAAGGACAUCACCCACAGAAGAAGCACCGGCUAACUCCGUGCCAGCAGCCGCGGUAAUACGGAGGGUGCGAGCGUUAAUCGGAAUUACUGGGCGUAAAGCGCGCGUAGGCGGUCUGAUAAGCCGGUUGUGAAAGCCCCGGGCUCAACCUGGGAACGGCAUCCGGAACUGUCAGGCUAGAGUGCAGGAGAGGAAGGUAGAAUUCCCGGUGUAGCGGUGAAAUGCGUAGAGAUCGGAAGGAAUACCAGUGGCGAAGGCGGCCUUCUGGACUGACACUGACGCUGAGGUGCGAAAGCGUGGGUAGCAAACAGGAUUAGAUACCCGAGUAGUC